AGUCGAACGAGAGGUGAGGACGGAAACCUUCGGGCGGAAGACUUUAUUUCGAGUGGCGGACGGGUGAGUAACGCGUGGGUAACCUGCCUCAUACAGGGGGAUAACAGUUGGAAACGACUGUUAAUACCGCAUAAGACCACAGCACCGCAUGGUGCAGGGGUAAAAACUCCGGUGGUAUGAGAUGGACCCGCGUUCGAUUAGCCAGUUGGCGGGGUAACGGCCCACCAAAGCGACGAUCGAUAGCCGAUCUGAGAGGAUGACCGGCCACAUUGGGACUGAGACACGGCCCAAACUCCUACGGGAGGCAGCAGUGGGGAAUAUUGCACAAUGGGGGAAACCCUGAUGCAGCGACGCCGCGUGAGUGAAGAAGUAUUUCGGUAUGUAAAGCUCUAUCAGCAGGGAAGAAAAUGACGGUACCUGAGUAAGAAGCCCCGGCUAACUACGUGCCAGCAGCCGCGGUAAUACGUAGGGGGCAAGCGUUAUCCGGAUUUACUGGGUGUAAAGGGAGCGCAGACGGCUCUGCAAGUCUGAAGUGAAAGCCCGCGGCUUAACCGCGGGACUGCUUUGGAAACUGCAAGGCUUGAGUAUCGGAGGGGCAGGCGGAAUUCCUAGUGUAGCGGUGAAAUGCGUAGAUAUUAGGAAGAACACCGGUGGCGAAGGCGGCCUGCU
rnacentral:rRNA from 1 species